rnacentral:rRNA from 1 species
UAAGCAUGUAGGCUGGUUGUCCAGGCAAAUCCGGAUAAUCAAGGCUGAGGUGUGAUGACGAGGCACUACGGUGCUGAAGUAACAAAUGCCCUGCUUCCAGGAAAAGCCUCUAAGCAUCAGGUAACAUCAAAUCGUACCCCAAACCGACACAGGUGGUCAGGUAGAGAAUACCAAGGCGCUUGAGAGAACUCGGGUGAAGGAACUAGGCAAAAUGGUGCCGUAACUUCGGGAGAAGGCACGCUGGUGUGUAGGUGA